rnacentral:rRNA from 1 species
UGGGGAAUAUUGCACAAUGGGGGAAACCCUGAUGCAGCGACGCCGCGUGAGCGAAGAAGGCUUUCGAGUCGUAAAGCUCUGUCCUAUGAGAAGAUAAUGACGGUAUCAUAGGAGGAAGCCCCGGCUAAAUACGUGCCAGCAGCCGCGGUAAUACGUAUGGGGCGAGCGUUGUCCGGAAUUAUUGGGCGUAAAGGGUACGUAGGCGGUCUAUUAAGUCAGGUGUGAAAGCGUGAGGCUUAACCUCAUUAAGCACUUGAAACUGAUAGACUGGAGUGAAGGAGAGGAAAGUGGAAUUCCUAGUGUAGCGGUGAAAUGCGUAGAUAUUAGGAGGAAUACCGGUGGCGAAGGCGACUUUCUGGACUUUUACUGACGCUCAGGUACGAAAGCGUGGGGAGCAAACAGG